UGCUGUCGGUCGGGUGGUUGUUCGGCCAGCUGCUGCCGGGCGACGCCGCACCGCUGCUGUGGCUGCCGGUGCUGAAUCCGGCCGAGAUCGGCCA
rnacentral:tRNA from 1 species